rnacentral:sRNA from 1 species
UCUAUGCUAGAAUGAUAGGGUAGAAGUAAAAAGACGGUAGCUUUCUUUACGAAAGGAGUGGAUGCCUAUGAAAAUGGCACUAAAUUCUAACGGAAAGGAGGUCAAAAUUUGUCAGUGUAUCAGGCGCUUUCCUUAAUGUUGCUCUUUGCAAUGUUCAUUCUUGCGCUAC